UACGGGGGGGGCAAGCGUUGUUCGGAAUUACUGGGCGUAAAGGGCUCGUAGGCGGCCAACUAAGUCAGACGUGAAAUCCCCAGGCUCAACCUGGGAACUGCGUCUGAUACUGGAUGGCUUGAAUUCGGGAGAGGGAUGCAGAAUUCCAGGUGUAGCGGUGAAAUGCGUAGAUAUCUGGAGGAAUACCGGUGGCGAAGGCGACAUCCUGGACCGGCAUUGACGCUGAGGCGCGAAAGCCAGGGGAGCAAACGGG
rnacentral:rRNA from 1 species